AUUUACAUCCUUCUUUGAAUCUCACAGACUCUUCCGAAAUGUAAAGAUGGACAAGGAGGAUCUGAUGAUGGAAGGAAGGAGGAAGACUCUCUUCUCUCUUUUAUUUUUUCUUCACCCAAAAUCCUAGAUCAAAUCUAGGUUUUCACUCACCCAAAAAGAGGAAAAUCUCCUCUAAUCUCUCACACCUAGGAAGGCUGUCCACCCUA
rnacentral:lncRNA from 1 species